GACGAACGCUGGCGGCGUGCUUAACACAUGCAAGUCGAACGGAAAGGCCCUGCUUGCAGGGUACUCGAGUGGCGAACGGGUGAGUAACACGUGGGUGAUCUGCCCUGCACUUCGGGAUAAGCCUGGGAAACUGGGUCUAAUACCGGAUAGGAGCCAUUUUUAGUGUGAUGGUUGGAAAGUUUUUUCGGUGUAGGAUGAGCUCGCGGCCUAUCAGCUUGUUGGUGGGGUAAUGGCCUACCAAGGCGGCGACGGGUAGCCGGCCUGAGAGGGUGGACGGCCACAUUGGGACUGAGAUACGGCCCAGACGCCUACGGGAGGCAGCAGUGGGGAAGAUUGCACAAUGGGCGCAAGCCUGAUGCAGCGACGCCGCGUGGGGGAUGACGGCCUUCGGGUUGGAAACUCCUUUCGCUAGGGACGAAGCUUUUUGUGACGGUACCUAGAUAAGAAGCACCGGCUAACUACGUG
rnacentral:rRNA from 1 species